UGAAAUUUGAACUUUAAAUUUUAAAUUUAUUUUUUACUUUUAAAUUUUAAAUUUUAAAUUUUAAAUUUUAAAUUUUAAAUUUCAAAAUUUUAAACUUAAAAUUAAAUUUUUAUAUUUUUAAUUUUUAAUUUUUAAUUUUUAAUUUUUAAAAUUUCGCAUUUCACAUAUCAAAUUUUAAAUUUUAAGUUGCAUUAAAAUUUGAAAUUUGAAAUUUGAAAUUUAAAAUUUGAAAUUUGAAAUUUUAACUUUUAAGUUUAAAAUUUAGAGAAAUUCCGUAAAAUUGCACAAUACAUAUCCAAACAGUUUAAAAAUUGAAUCCGUAAAAUUUUUUUAGAGUUACAGAAUUCCCUAUUUCAUUUGGACGAAAACCACAGUUUAUAAAUCUCGUAGAAAUUUUUUACUGUGCAUCCAAACAGGCUCUAAAUAAUACAAAAGCAUACGUGGGUAAAAGUAUACCACUCAAACAAGGUACGCAUAUGUACCACUCACUUGCGCAGUUGGUAAUAAUCUAUAGGUUCCUGAUUAAGUGAUAUAUUAAUUUACUAAACGUGGCGUUGUUGAUCUAAUUUAAUUAUGUAAAUAUAUUU
rnacentral:lncRNA from 1 species